GGAUCAGUAGCGCCGAGGUAGAGCCUUCGUCUAGUAAACGAAGAGGCUCGGGUUCGACUCCCGGGUGGUUUC
rnacentral:tRNA from 1 species